ensembl:snRNA U6 U6 spliceosomal RNA
GUGCUGACUUCUGAAGCACAAGUACUCAAACUGGAACAGUAUGGAGAUCAGCAUGGCCCUGUGCAGAGGUGAUACAUAGAUUCAUGAUGAAUUCCAUAUUUUU